AGCAACAAGAAGAAAAAGGUGUGGAGAGAGGAGAAAGAACGUUUAUUGAAGAUGACCUUAGAAGAGAGACGCAAAGAAUACCUAAGAGACUAUAUUCCCCUGAACAGCAUUCUAUCAUGGAAGGAGGAGAUGAAGGGCAAGGGCCAAAAUGAUGAAGAAAAUACUCAGGAAACAUCCCAGGUGAAGAAAAGUUUGACUGAAAAAGUUUCUCUCUAUAGAGGUGACAUCACAUUGCUAGAGGUAGAUGCUAUAGUCAAUGCCGCAAAUGCCAGUCUUCUUGGAGGAGGAGGUGUGGAUGGCUGUAUUCAUAGAGCAGCCGGCCCCUGUUUGCUAGCUGAAUGUCGUAACCUGAAUGGCUGUGAUACUGGACAUGCAAAAAUCACAUGUGGCUAUGACCUGCCUGCAAAAUGUGAGUACAACUGAAUACUGUUUCAAAACCAGAUGAGACAUCUUAACUUGUUUUACUCCAGUGUAUAACUGGAAAAGGAAAUGGCAGUGGUGGUAUUUAAUUAAAUGUGCUUGAGUUGAG
rnacentral:sRNA from 1 species